rnacentral:misc_RNA from 1 species
GUUUAACGGGAGUUAGCUGCCGACAGGUUUAUAAUAGAAAACAGACGAAAAAAUAUGAUGGCCCUGAGUUCUUAUUGACCCACCACUUUUCUACAUAAUCCCAAUACAAUUCUGUACGCAUCUUUGUCCUGCUCUUCCUUCCAAGUCCAAAAACGUGUAAUGGCAAGUGUCCGGUGACCCAAUAACUUCUAUUCUAUUCUAUAUUGGUCCAGUAUUUGAACGGG